GUCGGGAUAGCUCAGCUGGUAGAGCAGAGGACUGAAAAUCCUCGU
rnacentral:tRNA from 6 species